rnacentral:rRNA from 1 species
CCUACGGGUGGCAGCAGUAGGGAAUCUUCCACAAUGGGCGAAAGCCUGAUGGAGCAACGCCGCGUGAGUGAAGAAGGUCUUCGGAUCGUAAAACCCUGUUGUUAGAGAAGAAAGUGCGUGAGAGUAACUGUUCACGUAUCGACGGUAUCUAACCAGAAAGCCACGGCUAACGACGUGCCAGCAGCCGAGGGAAUACGGAGGUGGCAAGCGUUAUCCGGAUUUAUUGGGCUGAAAGGGAACGCAGGCGGUCUUUUAAGUCUGAUGUGAAAGCCUUCGGCUUAACCGGAGUAGUGCAUUGGAAACUGGGAGACUUGAGUGCAGAAGAGGGGAGUGGAACUCCAUGUGUAGCGGUGAAAUGCGUAGAUAUAUGGAAGAACACC